rnacentral:rRNA from 1 species
GAUGAACGCUAGCGGAAGGCAUAAUACAUGCAAGUCGAACGGAUGUAGCAAUACAUUAGUGGCGCACGGGUGCGUAACGCGUAUGUAACCUACCUUCAUCAGGGGGAUAACUACCCGAAAGGGUGGCUAACACCGCAUAAUACUAUUGAGUGGCAUCACUUGAUAUUUAAAUCUGAGGAGGAUGAAGAUGGGCAUGCGUCUGAUUAGCUAGUUGGUGUGGUAACGGCGCACCAAGGCGACGAUCAGUAGGGGAACUGAGAGGUUGGUCCCCCACACUGGCACUGAGAUACGGGCCAGACUCCUACGGGAGGCAGCAGUAGGGAAUAUUGGUCAAUGGUGGGAACACUGAACCAGCCAUUCCGCGUGCAGGAAGAAGGGUCUCUGACUUGUAAACUGCUUUAGCAAGGGAAGAAAAAGCUCAUGCGUGAGAAAUUGACGGUACCUUGAGAAUAAGCACCGGCUAACUACGUGCCAGCCGCCGCGGUAAGAC